CUACGGUGCACCAGUGGGGAAUAUUGCACAAUGGAGGAAACUCUGAUGCAGCAACGCCGCGUGGAGGAUGACACUUUUCGGAGCGUAAACUCCUUUUAUAUAGGAAGAAGAUGACGGUACUAUAUGAAUAAGCGCCGGGUAACUCCGUGCCAGCAGCCGCGGUAAUACGGAGGGCGCAAGCGUUACUCGGAAUCACUGGGCGUAAAGAGCGUGUAGGCGGAUUAAAAAGUCAGAAGUGAAAUCCUAUAGCUUAACUAUAGAACUGCUUCUGAAACUCUUAAUCUAGAAUGUGGGAGAGGUAGAUGGAAUUUCUGGUGUAGGGGUAAAAUCCGUAGAGAUCAGAAGGAAUACCGAUUGCGAAGGCGAUCUACUAGAACAUUAUUGACGCUGAGACGCGAAAGCGUGGGGAGCAAACAGGAUUAGAUACCCUCGUAGUC
rnacentral:rRNA from 1 species